CUAAAUCGAGGUACACACACCGUCGAGGAAAAAAUUUCGAACUCUUUUUUUCUUUUUGUGAAAAUUUCUUUACAAAGGAAAAAAAAAGAAACCGAAUGUCGGUUGGUUUUGUUGGUUGUUCACACUUGCCCGAUUUGUAUUGAAAUUUAUGUUGUUUUUGUUCAAUUAGGAAACUUUUUGGUUGAUAUUUUUGUUAAAUUUUUUAAUAUCGACAACAUUUUUAAGCAAAAACAAUUGGAGAAAAUUUCAUAGUUAAGAACUACCCGCCGCCCCAUAUGACGCCAUUUGUAAAA